GGGGCUCACAGCUCUCUCCUCACCCAGGGCAGAAAUCUCUGGGGAAGGUAGAACUGUGCUCUAGAAGAAGAUGAGACUGUUGGGUCUUCUCCUGUGCCUGGUGACAGCCCCCCAGGGUGUCCGCUCCGAGGUGCAGCUGCAGGAGUCGGGCCCAGGACUGGUGAAGCCCUCACAGACCCUCUCCCUCACCUGCACAGUCUCUGGUUACUCCAUCACCAGUGGUUACGUAUGGAGCUGGAUCCGCCAGUUCCCAGGGAGGGGGCUGGAGUGGAUUGGGUACAUAAGUUAUAGUGGAAGUGCUUACUACAGCCCGUCCCUCAAGAGCCGCACCUCCAUCUCCAGAGACACGUCCAAGAACCAGUUCUCCCUGCAGCUGACUUCCAUGACCACCGAGGAUACAGCUGUGUAUUACUGUGCCAGAGACACAACCCUGCUUGUGCUCCUGGGGAGACACCGAUGCAGUGAUCCCAUGGUUCAGACCUCGGGGCUCCUGGCUGUGAGAUCUGAGAAUGUGGGCCUAUGGACUGCAGGUAUCUACUCCCAGCUGCAGCUGGUGCAGUCUGGGGCUGUGGUGAGGAAGCCUGGGGCCUCAGUGGAGGUCUCGUUCAAGGCCUCUGGAUACAUGAUCACCAACUAA